rnacentral:lncRNA from 1 species
GCAGAAUGCUGUGAGUAUAACCAUUCUCCCACCUGAGGUUGCUGCUUCUUUGGAGACAAGAGUGAUGCUGCUGGAGCUCUCAUGAAGAAACGUGGAAUCUUAUAACCUCCCAACCUCCCAAGACCCACUGAAUCUGCAUUUUCACCAGAUCCCAAGGCAUGGAAGAAACGAAAUACACCUGAAAAUGUGUACCAGUGAAGUGACCACAGAGGAACUCUCAUCUUCCGCUGAGGCCCAGCUCACUUUGUGGAAGACCUUCAAGAUGCCCAGGCACAAGAUGAAGAAGGCAAGGCUGGAGAGGUGAAGAAGUUUGUUGGAGUGGUGACAAAGCUAGUGGGUAGGAGAGCCAGCACUUGAACACAGGCAGCCCAGCCCUAAGUACUUGUCCUACCUAAACCACUAUGCACCCCCUCCCCAGCUAGGGUAGUUGCAUAUUUUUGGAAAAUCCUUGAUAUGGUUUGGCUGCGUCCCCACCCAAAUCCCAUCUUGAACUGUAGCUCCCAUAAUUCCCACGUGUUGUGGGAGGGACCGGGUGGGAGAUAAUCGAAUCAUGGUGGU